UACGAAGGGGGCUAGCGUUGCUCGGAAUCACUGGGCGUAAAGGGUGCGUAGGCGGCGCUUUAAGUCAGGGGUGAAAUCCUGGAGCUCAACUCCAGAACUGCCUUUGAUACUGAAGAUCUUGAGUUCGGGAGAGGUGAGUGGAACUGCGAGUGUAGAGGUGAAAUUCGUAGAUAUUCGCAAGAACACCAGUGGCGAAGGCGGCUCACUGGCCCGAUACUGACGCUGAGGCACGAAAGCGUGGGGAGCAAACGGG
rnacentral:rRNA from 1 species